AGCGGCGAACGGGUGAGUAACACGUAGGUGAUCUGCCCAUCAGACGGGGACAACGAUUGGAAACGAUCGCUAAUACCGGAUAGGACGAAAGUUUAAAGGUGCUUCUGGCACCGCUGAUGGAUGAGCCUGCGGCGCAUUAGCUAGUUGGUAGGGUAAAGGCCUACCAAGGCGACGAUGCGUAGCCGACCUGAGAGGGUGAACGGCCACACUGGGACUGAGACACGGCCCAGACUCCUACGGGAGGCAGCAGUAGGGAAUCUUCGGCAAUGGGCGAAAGCCUGACCGAGCAACGCCGCGUGAAUGAUGAAGGCCUUCGGGUUGUAAAAUUCUGUUAUAAGGGAAGAACGACUUUAGUAGGAAAUGGCUAGAGUGUGACGGUACCUUAUGAGAAAGCCACGGCUAACUACGUGCCAGCAGCCGCGGUAAUACGUAGGUGGCGAGCGUGAUCCGGAAUUAUUGGGCGUAAAGAGCGCGCAGGUGGUUGAUUAAGUCUGAUGUGAAAGCCCACGGCUUAACCGUGGAGGGUCAUUGGAAACUGGUCGACUUGAGUGCAGAAGAGGGAAGUGGAAUUCCAUGUGUAGCGGUGAAAUGCGUAGAGAUAUGGAGGAACACCAGUGGCGAAGGCGGCUUCCUGGUCUGUAACUGACACUGAGGCGCGAAAGCGUGGGGAGCAAACAGGAUUAGAUACCCUGGUAGUCCACGCCGUAAACGAUGAGUGCUAAGUGU
rnacentral:rRNA from 1 species